UCAGUCUGAGGAUUUGUAGAGACAGGAUCUCGCCCCGCUUUCGGCUAAGGAUUUCACAGAGUACAGCACUGGAAGGCAGAGACAGGAGGAUUUCUCGGGCUUGCUGACCAGUUACUCUAACCUUGUAGCAUCUCAGUCAAGCCCAGGCAGCCCUCAGACUCACAGAAACCCACCUGCUUCAUCAUUCUCAAUGCUGGGAUUAUAGGAGUGAGCUGCCACACCCGAGUCGAAACUUCGUUAAAUAAAGCGCAGGCAUCGCUCUUCCUGCAGGCUUCUGCCUCUGUUAAGUGAAUAGGUGAUUCAGAAAGAAUAGUGACAGUGUGACACUUAAUGGGAUAACCAAAACAGGUACUCAGUGACCAGAGAGCAGCUGAGUGUAAACACACUGGACAAAGGGAAGUUUAGAUCCUCGGUGGAGAGAGGCAGGACAAUGAUGCCACGGGAUGCUGUCAUGCAACUUGAGAAUGACACCAGUUUACAAUUAUAAAUUGUUUGCUUUUGGCAUUUCACAUCUAAUAUUUUUGGUUAUUUUAGGUAACUAAAUUCAGGGAAAACGAACCACAAGUAAGGAAGGAGUACUGUGUUCUUUGUCUUAUCUGUUUGUUUAUUUUGAGAUUUUACUGUAUCUAAAAUCUUUAUAAAGAAAGCCUGUUGGUUAAUAAAGUAGCGGGGGAAACAUAAAAAUAGUUUCAGGGCAGAAAGAAAGAAGGGAAGGAGUUAGGAGGAGAAAGUAAAGGUAACAAGAAAAAGAUGGGAAAAGGCUCCAUGGGUAAAGCACUUGCCAUGUACGCACAGGACCCGAGUCUAGACCCACGUAGAGCUGGGUGCAGAGGUGAAUCUGUAACCACAGACCUGCUACAGAGAGAUGGGAGGCAGAGACAGAGAAAUGCAGAGACCUCGCGGUCCAGCAUUCUGGUGUUUGCAGCAGUGAACAACAGGAGACCCUGUCUCUAACACAGUGGAAGGCAAGGAUUUCCAUGUGUGCAACAUGGUAAAGACACACACACACACACACACACACACACACACACACACACACACACGAUUAAGAAAGAAAUUGCUAAGAUAAGCACUGGGUUGGCUUUUGGCUGUAGGUACAGUUCUUCAGUUCUUCUGUUAUAUCCCUUGGGACUAUUACUGCCUCAGGUCAAGUUGGCCUUGGAUUCUUCGGACUCUUGAACAAUUGGUGUAGUUUCAAUGUUUGUUGAAAAUUCAUGUUGAAAUUUCAUACCCAGUGCAAUAGUAUUGAGAGCUGGGGGCCUUCUGGGGUGAUUAAGCCAUGAGGGCCUCUACCUUCCAGCAUAGGAUUAGUGUUCUUACAGAAGGGAUUGAGAGAGGGAGUUAGGCCCUAUUUUGUCUUUCUAUAACAUUUACCCUGACACCAACUGAAGAUGCAGCCAUCUUGAAAGAGAGUAAUUCCUCACCAGGCACAGACUCAGACUCUGUUGGUCACCGGGCUUCUCUAAUGAGAGCUAUUGGGGUCCAGCCCCUUGAUAGCUUUCUCCCAGAGUUCCAGAAGGGACGCUGCUAGCGGCAGAUUAAUUAAUCUGAGGGAUUCUCGAAUAUCUAUGCACAUGGAACUCUUUAGUCCACUCUCUUCAUUCUUCUGAGUCAGUUCCCUCUCUUCACAGCUUCUUCUCUGCUCUCUUAUUUAGCUCCUUUCUUGCCUGAUUUCUACCUACAUUUUUCUCCUAUUUCCUCUAAGUGCUAUCUUAAUUCCUUCAUCUAGUCCUAUCCCAUCUAGUUUCUCAUAGCUAGAUGCACCCGGUAAUUGUUAAAGGGAGAUCUAGAAUUAGAGAUAAAAAUUGGAAAAGGAGAAAGUUAAGCUUAAUUAUCCCAUUCACUUGACCUGGGCAAUUGACAGUGUGAAUCUUUACCUCCUCUGACAGAUGGUCUAUUCUUAAAAAGUCUAGGAAGUUUCUCAGAUAAGAUACUUUUGUCUGGAGAUGGUUCUGGCCAGAUGGUGCUAAUGAUGAUAAAAUGAUGAUAAUUACAGAGAGGCUUGAAAUUGGGGGUCUGGCUGUGUUGCUGCAUUAGCACAGUUGGGGAAGGUUGUCCAAAUAUUCCAAUAGCAUAGGGGAAAUUGUGCCCAGUGAAUGAUCAACACAUUGUUCUAGAAAUGGAGAAGCUACAAGAGAAUGCAAGAAAUUAAUGAAAACAGCUUAAUAUUCAAGAGCCAAUAUCACCAAGACUCCUUGAACCUUGGCUUUAACUCUGGGGGUGGGGGUGCCUUGGCUUCUUCCAGGUAUUAGCUUUUGCCAUAGUCAGCUGAAUUCCUACUUCAUAUUUCUGUGGCUCCCAGCACGUCUCAGCCUCUAUGACUGAAAGAAAUGUGUUUCCGUUGUUUCUAAUUAUCCAUGUUAGAGUGCUUUCAUCGCAGCACCGGAAACAGUCUAGGACAUACCGUUUCUUUUGGUUCAGUCAUGCUGUUAGGAGGAUGUCCUGCUACCUGCAGGCUUGGUUUACCCCUUCCAGACUCGAAGGUUGGAAAUGAAGUUCUGAGGUCCUGACUCAGGUCCAGCUUCAUGAAAAAAGCCUGGAGUUUAGAUUUAAGUCACCAAGGCUCCUGCAUUAGCAGGAUGCACCCUUUUCUCUGAUACAGUCUACUAUAGAAGGGAGUUCAAACACCGUCUGUGCCAUUGUUGCUACUCUGGAUUCAGUUACUCCUCAGAGGCUCUUGCUUUUUGCUCUUUAUAAUAUUCCAAAUGGGACUUCAACUUCUUAAAAUGAAUUCAAGGUUUUAUGAAAGUAUAUAUUAUAUGCUGAACAUACACCCAUAGCCCCUCAUCCUUCUUCCUCUCCCAUUAGUCCUUUCUGUCUCCAUAGACAGUUUACUUCUUCUCUCAAGCCAUACAUGCAAGCAUGAUUUUAUGUAUCUAUAUAAAAUCUAGGACCCACAAAUGAGAGAAAGCAUAUGGUAUUUAUCUUUCUGAGACUGACUUAACUCACUUAAUUGGAUCAUCUCCACCAGCUUCAUCCAUUUUCUCAAAAAUGACAUGUCUUUAUUCCUUUUUCAUGGCCAACAAAUAUUCCAUUGUGUAGAUAUACCUGCAUCACAUCUUCUAAAUCCAUUCCCGUUGGUAGGCUUCGUAAUCUAGCUGUUGUGAGUAGUGUAGACACUGAUGUUCAAGUAUCACCAUGCUGUGUUGACUUGGAGGCUUUUAGGUAAAUACCCUGGGGUGGUACAUUUGGGUCGUAGGGAAGAUCUAUUGCUAGUUGUUUGAGGAAGCGCCAUACUGAGUUGCAUAGUGGCUGGAUUAGUUUAUGUUCCCACCAGCAGCAUCUAGGAGUUCUCUCUUCACAGCCUCAGCAGCAUUUGUUGUUAUUUAUUUUCUUAAUGGCCAUCAUUCUGAUCAGAGGAAGAUAUAAUCUCAGUGCCAUUUUGAUUUGUGUUUUUUUGAUGACCGUUGACUAACCUGGAUUUUUUUUCCCCUGGAUUACACCAGGCUUUCAUAAUUACAGACAAAAGAUGAGUUAGCCAGCUUUCAGAGUCUUAGCCAUCUAAGAGAUACAUAGACAGUCCAAGAAACUGACAACAGAGACCAAGGCAGCAGGCCCAGAAGAGGGUUCUAUGCCACAAGCAUCCCCAAGCCAUGGGUUGCUAACAGAUCCCAUUUAUUCAGCACUCAUGUUGGGUCUUGCCUGAGUAGUCAGUGAAAGCUCAGGUUGGGAAGAAAAGACUGAUCCUUCCAGAAACAGACAAGGCUCAUUAUUGGUCUUUUGGCUUGGACUGGAGCAUCAGGAUAGUAAUUUGGAGGUGACUGAUCCUAAACGCACCAAGACUGGCUACCGAGCAGAUACAGUGGCAGCAAAUUCAAGGGAGCCCCUUCAGUGACUCUUACUAGCAUUGAGGGUUCCAGACAUUCUAGUGCCACACAAACAAGUCCUAGCCCCCAGAUGCAGACCACAAAGCUGCAGUUUCCAUGUGGAUUGGCUUGAAGGGAGAUCGGAGAGAAAAGAAGUGGAAGAGACAGCCUACUACAAAAAAAGUUUGUUUUUUGUUUUUUCCUACAAAACGUAUUUUCUCUCAAAAGUAGUUAGUUGGCUUUCAUUUUUAAAUUUUAUUUACGCAAUUUUUGAAAUUCUCUAUCAAAGGUAGUUAACCCAGCAAAGACUCAUAUUUCCUGUGCCUUCUCCACCCACUUGGUACUGAUCAACCAACUGCAUCAGGUUGUGAAGCUGAGCUCCCACCAAUCGGAUGAGCCACAGUCAAUCACCUAUGUCAGGCAUAAAAGACAGAAGCCAACUUGGCCAAAGUGUGCUUGCCAGCCAGGCCAGGGUCUUGGGGUAGCCUUUUAACACAAAGAAUUGCCUGGCCAAGCUCUUUCAGCUUUGGUGGUGUGUUCCUCUGUCUGACAGGGAGAUUGACGUGACUGUGUGUCUCCAGCACCUCCCUAGAGCACUGCUCAGCUCCGGACCCAGCAACCGUCCUUCUCCCUCAGGACCACUAGCAACCCCUGUCUUCAAGGGCUGCUCUCGGGCUGCAGAGACUGAGGUCACAGAAGUUGGCUAUCUUGCCCAAGGUCAAGCAGCUGAAGAUGGAGCUGGGAUUCAGUUUUCUGGCACCUGGACUCCAGAAUUUACUCUCUCGAUCCCCUACUCUUGCUAUUCAAAGUGCGGUCUCCUGGACAGGAACAUUGGCAAUGGGCUCACAACGUUUCCUGCUGUUAAUGGGUCUGAGUGCUCCGCAUUGUGAUGUUUUCCCUCAGUGUUCCAAUCAUGAUCAAAACGUAACUGCCUACCACUGACCUCUGGUUCUCCGGCACAUUGACCAGUCCUUUCAGAAAUGAUAUGGCACUUAUCUGGCUGAGAAUGAAUAUUCGGCUCCAGAAUCAAAGAGCUCUGGUAUUGGUGGAGGGUCCUAGGGGUCAGCUACUAUCUUAUCUCAUGGCUCCUAAACCCAAGGUGCCAUCUCUGGGUCUCCAAGGGCUCUCUUAUAGUGUGUCCCUUCAGGCCUUUCUAGGUUCAGAGAAUGGGACUCUGCUGGGGUUAGUCUUUUAAUAAACUUUCUAUCAAAAUUAACUUUCGUCAUUCAGCCUGUGUCUGGACAUCUCCCAUGUCAGAGAUCCCACUCCCUAGCCAGGGACCC